GGUGGUGCAGUGGUUAAGUGUUUGGCUGCUAACCAAAAAGUUGGUGGUUCAAACCCACCAGCCACUC
rnacentral:tRNA from 1 species